UUGGAGGGCAAGUCUGGUGCCAGCAGCCGCGGUAAUUCCAGCUCCAAUAGCGUAUAUUAAAGUUGUUGCAGUUAAAAAGCUCGUAGUUGAAUUUCGGAGUUUGUCGGUCGGUCGGGCUUCACUGUCCGCACUGGCCUGACGGAUUCCUACCUUCUGAAUAACCAGCAUGCUAUUAAGUUAGUGCGUUGGGGAAGCAGAGCUAUUACCUUGAAAAAAUUAGAGUGCUUAAAGCAGGCUUAUGCUUGAAUAGAUUAGCAUGGAAUAAUAAAAUAGGACGGCAUGGUUCUAUUUUGUUGGUUUCUAGGAUCACCGUAAUGAUUAAUAGGGAUAGUUGGGGGCAUUAGUAUUCAAUUGUCAGAGGUGAAAUUCUUGGAUUUAUUGAAGACUAACUUCUGCGAAAGCAUUUGCCAAGGAUGUUUUCAUUAAUCAAGAACGAAAGUUAGGGGAUCGAAGACGAUCAGAUACCGUCGUAGUCUUAACCAUAAACUAUGCCGACUAGGGAUCGGACGAUGUUAAUUUUUUAAUGACUCAUUCGGCGCCUUACGGGAAAC
rnacentral:rRNA from 1 species